UACGAAGGGGGCUAGCGUUGUUCGGAUUUACUGGGCGUAAAGCGCACGUAGGCGGAUCUUUAAGUCAGGGGUGAAAUGCCGCGGCUCAACCGCGGAACUGCCUUUGAUACUGGGGAUCUGGAGUCCGGGAGAGGUGAGCGGAACUGCGAGUGUAGAGGUGAAAUUCGUAGAUAUUCGCAAGAACACCAGUGGCGAAGGCGGCUCACUGGCCCGGUACUGACGCUGAGGUGCGAAAGCGUGGGGAGCGAACAGG
rnacentral:rRNA from 1 species